GUAGCAGGGUUCUUGUAGUUUUAGAUUGGCAUUAGUUCAGUUUCAAAUAACAUAUUAUUGAUUCGUGCUGUGCGAUGAGUUCCCACACCGAUUCGAAAAGCAGAUUUGAAUAUGGUUUUAAUCUUGUUGAAACAAAGUUUGGAAGUGUAACCAAGUAUAAAGAUUCCAUAAUUAAUUUUCGAAAUAAUAAUAAGGAAUUGAAAAUUGAAAUUAAUGAAUUGGAACUUUCUACUGGAUAAGCACUUUAUUAUGUUAAGAUUGUUAUUAAGAGACAUGGAUAAUUUAUUAAUAUGAGAAUUUCAUUGAUAUUUUUUGUGUAUGGUUUCAGUUUGAAGUAUUGUUUGAAAGUUUGUUAUAUGCAAUUAAGAAUAAGACAUCAGAUAGUGGUGAUCUUUGUGGCAUUCAUUAUGAAGGUUUUUUUUCAUUUCAGAAAAGUAAGAAUACAAUUUCUAACACAAUUGUAAAUUUUAGGGUACAUACCACAUUCUUCUACUUGGCGAAAUACCACAUGAAGGUCAAAUUAUCAAAUGCCUUUGAAAAGCCAAGCUAUAUAAUCGAGAGGUGUUUAUUAGUUUUUAUAGAGCUAUUUAUGAGGUAAUCUAAAAAAUAAGGGAAUCUGCGACGAAUUGUCCUUUCUGGAAGCCAAAUGGAUCAGAGCAGAGAAGUCUAUUUUUGACGAUAAACCACCUUUUGGCAAUAAUUUUGUCUAAUACUUUGGAUGUCAAUUUAAAUAAUAAUCUUUCUUAGUUAUUGUGUUCUUUAAGUAUUAAAUAGUGAUUCUUCAACUAAACAUAUUUGUAUUAGAUUAGUGGUAAUUGAUAAUUAUUUUUUCCUUUCUUGUCUUUCAUUUCUUUGCUUUCUUGCAGAGUUGUACUGUGUCGUGUAGAUUCAAUUUUACAAUUGUAUAUUGUUUUUGUGAAUGAACGUGCAUAGUUCGUGGUAGUUUUCAGUGGCGAAACUUUUAAGUAGAGCUGCCAUUAUUAAAUUAGGACAAACAAAGAGUUGGUGAUUCUCGGUAUUUGGCAUGUUACAAGUGUCGCAUAAGUUGCAGUUUUCAGCGUUUAUGAGAAAUAGGAGGCAUGUUGGAACCAGCAUACCAAUGACGAGACGGCGGUUCUGGGAAAAAUUGAGAGAAAUGCUGAUCGAUUUGGGAGUGAGCAUUUUUUAUUACGAGGACCGGUCGAAUCAUUGAGCCGCAAGUUUGGCGAAGAAAUCCGCACGCUCAUUAGCAGGGAUGCCAAUAUGUGAGAUAAUGGAUUUGAAUUAUUAUUUGGCACUUUGUUAUUUGGUUCCUCAAAUGGGUUAUUUAUUUCCGAUGACAGGAGUGAUUGCUGGAUUUUUUAAUAUAUUUAAACCUUCGGCACUAUUAAGUGAGAUACUUUUGAAAAGCUAAAAUGUUUGAAGACGGAUUGGUAUGGUGUGAUUUGAAACGGACUGGCAAUGGCGUGAUGGAUUGGAUUUCGUGGAGACGCAACUCUGCUAUAUUAUAAUUUUGUAACCCUAUUGUUUAUUUCUUCAUAAAUGCUUCUUUUUGAAGCGUUUAUGCUUCUUAUAUUUCUUUCAGAUUUCCAUCAUGGGCACUGCUUUGAAUCGGUUGCGAAAUUAUCAAUACUAUUACAAAGAAUGCAUCGAGGCGAGUUGCAUAUAUCAUUGCAUGUAGUUGUUGACAAACAUUCUUGACAUUUUUGCUCCUUGGGACAUUGAUUGGGGCAAAUGAUAAAUUUACCACAAUUUAAAAAUUUUUUCGUCGAUCUGCAACGAAUGGAUAUGUGUCCUAACCGUCCGCAGUUUAAACAUAAACGUACAGGGGGCACAUACAAAUGUGGUGUUAUUUUUGUUCCGCACAUAUAACUCUACGUACGACUGGCGUCCACACAUAUCAAACGGUGUAGUUUGGUUGGCCGGAUCAAAGACCUCUGGUUAUUCAAGAGAAACCACUACUGUUAUAUGGCACGGCAUGUUCUGGUUGAGUCGUGGUGCUGUGUUGUGGACGGAAAACGUUUUGAUGGCUAGCAACUGGAUAACAUCCUCUGAUGCUGAGAUGGAGUAAAGCUUCGAGAGUCCUUGCUACAAAAGCGAAAUUUGCCUAUAUGAUUCGCUUUUGCUGGCUUCAGUAACGGAACAACCCUGCCCAUUUUCCAGGCUUCGAGAAGUAUGUGGGCGUCUAACGACAAAUUAAGGACUUUGUUUCAAUACCAAAUAAGUAUUUUCUGUAAUUUGCCUUGUCAAAUUUGAAUGCAUAGAAAACAUUUCUGACUUGUAUAGUACAAUUAAUCAAAAUAAA